UACAGAGGUCUCAAGCGUUGUUCGGAUUCAUUGGGCGUAAAGAGCUCGUAGGCGGUCUGUCGCGUCGGAUGUGAAACCUCGGGGCUCAACCCCGAGCCUGCAUUCGAUACGGGCAGACUAGAGUUCGGUAGGGGAGACUGGAAUUCCUGGUGUAGCGGUGAAAUGCGCAGAUAUCAGGAGGAACACCGGUGGCGAAGGCGGGUCUCUGGGCCGAUACUGACGCUGAGGAGCGAAAGCGUGGGGAGCGAACAGG
rnacentral:rRNA from 1 species